AAGGGCCUUGCGCUUUUGCUCUUCCCUCUGUCUGAAAUUCCCUUCCCCAUCUGACAGCCCUCUUUAAAACCCAGAUCAAGUGACAAUUCUUUUGUUCUGUUUAAGACAAGGUCUCACUCUGUUUCCCAGGCUGGAGUGCGUGGCGCGAUCUCGGCUCACUGCAACCUCCACCUCCCCUCAGUUUCAAUGGAUUCUCUUGCCUUAGG
rnacentral:lncRNA from 10 species